GACGAACGCUGGCGGCGUGCCUAAUACAUGCAAGUUGAGCGAUGAAGCUUGGUGCUUGCACCAAUUUGAAGAGCAGCGAACGGGUGAGUAACGCGUGGGGAAUCUGCCUUUGAGCGGGGGACAACAUUUGGAAACGAAUGCUAAUACCGCAUAACAACUUUAUACAUAAGUUUUAAGUUUGAAAGAUGCAAUUGCAUCACUCAAUGAUGAUCUCGCGUUGUAUUAGGUAGUUGGUGAGGUAAAGGCGCACCAAGGCGAGGAUACAUCGCCGACCUGAGAGGGUGAGCAGCCGCCUUGGGAGGGUGACACGGCCCAAACUGCUACAGGAGGCAGCAGUAGGGCAACGUCGGCCAUGGAUGAAAGUCUGACCGAGCAACGCCGCGUGCGUGAAGAGGGUUUUCGGGUCGGAAAACUCUGUUGGUAGGGAAGAACGCUCGUGAGAGUGGAAAGCUCAUCAAGUGACGGUAACUACCCAGAAAGCGACGGCUAACUACGUG
rnacentral:rRNA from 1 species